rnacentral:snoRNA from 1 species
AAUCCAUGAUGAGGGAAAUCACGUUCAUACUCCUUAAAACGUUCCCAAGCUUCAUAGAAAGAUUCAGUUGGCCCAUGUUGAAAGGUUGAGAUCUUCGUUCUCAAAUU